UACAGAGGGUGCAAGCGUUAAUCGGAAUUACUGGGCGUAAAGCGUGCGUAGACGGUUACAUAAGUCGGAUGUGAAAGCCCCGGGCUCAACCUGGGAAUUGCAUUCGAGACUGUGUAGCUAGGAUGCGGAAGAGGGAAGCGGAAUUUCCGGUGUAGCGGUGAAAUGCGUAGAUAUCGGAAGGAACAUCAGUGGCGAAAGCGACUUCCUGGACCAGUACCGACGUUCAGGCACGAAAGCGUGGGGAGCAAACAGG
rnacentral:rRNA from 1 species